CCUACGGGUGGCUGCAGUGAGGAAUAUUGGUCAAUGGGCGAGAGCCUGAACCAGCCAAGUCGCGUGAGGGAGUACUGCCCUAUGGGUUGUAAACCUCUUUUGUCGGGGAGCAAAAGCCGGACGUGUCCGGCUGUGAGAGUACCCGAAGAAAAAGCAUCGGCUAACUCCGUGCCAGCAGCCGCGGUAAUACGGAGGAUGCGAGCGUUAUCCGGAUUUAUUGGGUUUAAAGGGUGCGCAGGCGGGUUUUUAAGUCAGCUGUAAAAUCGCGCGGCUCAACCGCGCCCCGCAGUUGAAACUGGACGCCUUGAGUUCACAACAGGCAGGCGGAAUUCGGGGUGUAGCGGUGAAAUGCAUAGAUAUCACGAGGAACCCCGAUUGCGAAGGCAGCCUGCCGGGGUGCGACUGACGCUGAGGCUCGAAGGUGCGGGUAUCAAACAGGAUUAGAUACCCCAGUAGUC
rnacentral:rRNA from 1 species